GAUGAAGAACGUAGCAAAAUGCGAUAAGUAAUGUGAAUUGCAGAAUUCAGUGAAUCAUCGAAUCUUUGAACGCACAUUGCGCCCGCCAGUAUUCUGGCGGGCAUGCCUGUUCGAGCGUCAUUUCAACCCUCAAGCACAGCUUGGUGUUGGGACUCGCGUUAAUUCGCGUUCCUCAAAUUGAUUGGCGGUCACGUCGAGCUUCCAUAGCGUAGAAGUAAAACCCUCGUUACUGGUAAUCGUCGCGGCCACGCCGUUAAACCCCAACUUCUGAAUGUUGACCUCGGAUCAGGUAGGAAUACCCGCUGAACUUAAGCAUAUCAAUAAGCGGAGGA
rnacentral:misc_RNA from 1 species